UAUACGCUAACAAAAGCUAAUGCUAUAUUCUUAAAAUAGUAAUGUCCUUAUUUUGACAAACUUCAGGGGGCUUUGGGCGACAACAUAAACAGCAACUUAUAAACCUUCCAUGGYCGAUUUUUACAGCUUUACAAAGAAAUAAAUCAUCCCAGGACGUCCCAAGAAGCAAUGCGCAUCCAAAUGAGCCUGCAAAGCACGCAUGGCCACUAAGGUGCCAACCACCUUGCAAACGCAUACGCACUUACAGACAAAACCAAAUCAACUUAAUCACAUUAACAUGACAAGUCGAAAUCAAAAAAUUGGAGGCAAGAUGGACCGACAGACUCCACUCUCCCCAGAAACCAAAAUUCAUCACGAAAACAUGGCGUUAUACAUGUUUGCUGGCCUUGUCGUGACGUUUGUUCUGAUAAGCAGUAUAAUAUUGUUUGUAGAACUUUAUAAGAAUGGACGAUGUUUAAAGGCAGCAAAGCAUAAAAAGGAUACUUUGGCAAAUAACAAAGAAACGCCAAAAUCUGACAUUGAAUUGUCGGACAUUUCAUGACAUGCGCAGUAAGCGUUCCCUGGACAAGAGCAUGCGCAUUGAUCUCAAGCAUGGAAAAGAAUGUGCUUUCUUUGGUAGUGCRAGGCAAUAACUUUCUUUAUUUGAUAUUUAUUAACAUACGAACGAGAGAUUUGAAAUUGGCUCGGUGUAAACMAUUAAAUGACAACAACAAAAUUAGCAUGACGACGCCUUUGAUAUACUAAACCAGCUACAUGUACCAGAAUUCUUUUUAAAUCAGUUUCAUCGUAUGAAGUAAUAGUCAAAAUUCAACUCGUAUAAGGAGAGUUAUUGUCCAGCCUCUCGAAUACGAGAAAGAGAUUCAUGACGACGACGAUUGACGAUACUUGGUAAAGCUAAAACUUAUAUCUAAAUAUAUACGUGACAUUUCCUUUCGUAUUAUAUUAGUUAUGCGGGCAUAUAUUACUUAUACUUAUGRGAGAGAAAAAUCAAGGUCAUAAAUGUGUUAUACAUAACGGAUACAUAUACACCGAGAUAAGAACUUUGUUGGAGACCUAUGACUUGACUUGCAUUGCAGAAAAAAAAUGAAAGCGCAUGCAACCUUUUGUUGAAGAUUGUAGAUGCAAGAUGCACAGACCGAAACGCAUACAGAAAUAACGUAUAUAUAUUUUGCGCUUUCAGACACUUCCGUCACACGAAUGUCUAUAAAUUGAUCAUUUGCGUGGGUAUAUUUUAUAAUUAAAAUUUAAGGGUGAAAAAAGGUAGAGUCUUAGAUAUCUAUGGUAAUGCAUGUAGAGACUUUAUUGAUGUAAAUUAAUCUAAAAAUGACACAAAUCAGAAUAAAAUAUUAAAGAAGAA